CCUACGGGAGGCAGCAGUGGGGAAUAUUGCGCAAUGGGCGAAAGCCUGACGCAGCCAUGCCGCGUGUGUGAAGAAGGCCCUAGGGUUGUAAAGCACUUUCAAUUGGGAGGAAAAGCUAACGACUAAUACUCGUUAGCCCUGACGUUACCUUUAGAAGAAGCACCGGCUAACUCCGUGCCAGCAGCCGCGGUAAUAC
rnacentral:rRNA from 1 species